rnacentral:SRP_RNA from 1 species
GCCGGGUAAGUCAUACACGACCAGCUCCCUCUGAAUUCCCCCAGGGCUUGAUCGCAGCAAGGGUAGGAGGUCGUAGCGGUGCGAUGUAUCAAGCUUACCCU